rnacentral:hammerhead_ribozyme from 1 species
AUUCAGCUGACGAGCCCAAAAUAGGAUGAAAUACGCGUCGUGGAU